UUAGCGGCGGACGGGUGAGUAACACGUGGGCAACCUGCCUAUUAAACUGGGAUAACUUCGGGAAACCGGAGCUUAUACCGGAGACGUUCUUUUCUCGCAUGAUAGAAGAUGGAAAGACGGUUUACGCUGUCACUUAUCUAUGGGCCCGCGGCGCAUUAGCUAGUUGGUGAGGUAAUGGCUCACCUAGGCGACAUGCGUAUCCGACCUGACAGGGUGAUCGGCCACACUGGGACUGAGACACGGCCCAGACUCCUACGGGAGGCAGCAAUAGGGAAUCUUCCACAAUGGACUAAAGUCUGACGGAGCAACUCUCCGCGAACUAACAAGGACUUCGGGUCCUAAAGUUCUGUUGUUAGGGAAGAACAUGUACCAGAGUAACUGCUGGUACCUUGACGGUACCUAACCAGAAAGCCACGGAUACCUACUUGCCA
rnacentral:rRNA from 1 species